CCCAGCUGCGUCGUGUCCAUGGUGAAAAGGGCACAGCACUCCUGAGUGCACGGACCUUCUGCCUGGGAUUCCUCAGGGAAUGAGGGCUCCGUGCAGCCACUGUCUUAAACCGUGGUGACCUGAUGUAGCUCAGCUUUGCUAUUCGGAGCUUUGUUUGCUUGCCGUCUGAGAAGUCAUUUGAUCACCUGUCUCUACCACUGUGUUGGGGUGUCUGCUUCUCCAGUUCAAACAGUAGUUUCUUCCUUCUGGAUUUAAGUGGUAACUGUUCUCAUUCGUUGGUUUAAUGAUGACGUUAAGCAUAUUCAAACAUUUUUAAAAAUGUAAAUUUUUCCAGAGAAGAAGUUUCUCUUCAAUUUCUUCCUUGCCCUUACUCUUCAAUUCAGUGCCCUCUCCUCCCUGAAUUUGCUUUUGCCUCCUUCAUUUUGAUUCCAACUCUUGGUCACUCCUCAAAGACGUGUCUGGUGGGUACUUGAAGUGGUUGACUAUUCCCACCUCUGCUUUUAUUCAAACCUUCUGAAGAUCCAUAGGCAUUAGCUACAUUUACAUUCCAGAUGAUGUAAGCAUACUUUUUAAUAUGAAUUACAAACAAUUUAAGAAGAAGCUUCCCUUUGGAGUCUGAACAAUUCCCAAACCACUGUGAAGGGACUGUCAUCAACUUGUUUAGAAAAAAUGUGGGAAGGAAUGUUUUUCCUUAUUAAACAGAAGAGCAUAUUUUCUUUCCCAGACUUAGAGACUAUCAUUACUAUUUCCAUAGGGUGAAGCUUGGUCUUUUUUUUGGUAGAAGUGCUAGAUUGCUUCUCUCUUGGUUUCAUUAACACUAAUUAGAGAAAAGAAGGGAUUCUCCUACUGGGCUUCUUCCAUACUGACAAUUAGGAUGAAGAGUUUCCUUGAGCCACAGAGUUCUCAGAGAGCAAGGCUGAGAAAUAUUUACCAACUUACUGGAGGAGAAGCCCUUUUAAACUAGAAGUGUAAUUUUCUAUUCCUGCUGCCCUGCGUGCUCAUAAGCUUUUGCAAACUCAAUUUUAUCUUUGCCAACUGAGUAUUUUUAGCUGUUUUUUCCUUCACAGUUUUCGAGUCAAGGGUUGUGUUAAGGUGACUGGCUAACACUGGAACAUUCCAUUUCAGCAGUCCUCAGAACAGAGAUAUUGGAGUGCUGGAUGGUGACUCAACCACUUCCCUGGACAGCCCAUUCCCCUUCCCUGGACCUGCACUGAACAAUUUCUCAUUUUGCUUAUGCUGGAGCCCCAGAGCUGAAUGCAGUACUCCUGGAGGAAACAGAGAAGAGGGAGACAACUACCUCAAUCACCCUGCUGGUCACACUUCCUUUGAUGUAGCCCAGGAUACAAUUGGUUUUCUGGGCUGCAAGUGCACAUUACUGGCUCGUGUUGAGCUUUUCAACAUCCAACACCUCCAAGUCAUUCUCCUCAGGAUUUCCCUCAGUACAUUCUUUGCAGUAAUUGGAAGCAUGUUUUCAUGUGUUCAGGCUUGUUCUAGCCCAUUGUCCAGUAUUUCCACACAAAGGAAAUAGUUUCUCUUUGAUCAGGUGUAUCU